UACGUAGGGUGCGAGCGUUAAUCGGAAUUACUGGGCGUAAAGUGUGCGCAGGCGGCCGAGCAAGUCGAGUGUGAAAGCCCCGAGCUUAACUUGGGAAUUGCGCUUGUGACUGGCGAGCUGGAGUGUGGCAGAGGGAGGUGGAAUUCCACGUGUAGCAGUGAAAUGCGUAGAGAUGUGGAGGAACACCGAUGGCGAAGGCAGCCUCCUGGGCCAGCACUGACGCUCAUGCACGAAAGCGUGGGGAGCAAACAGG
rnacentral:rRNA from 1 species